UGGGGAAUUUUGGACAAUGGGCGCAAGCCUGAUCCAGCAAUGCCGCGUGCAGGAAGAAGGCCUUCGGGUUGUAAACUGCUUUUGUCAGGGAAGAAAUCUUCUGGGCUAAUACCCCGGGAGGAUGACGGUACCUGAAGAAUAAGCACCGGCUAACUACGUGCCAGCAGCCGCGGUAAUACGUAGGGUGCGAGCGUUAAUCGGAAUUACUGGGCGUAAAGCGUGCGCAGGCGGUUUUGCAAGACAGAUGUGAAAUCCCCGGGCUCAACCUGGGAACUGCAUUUGUGACUGCAAGGCUAGAGUGCGGCAGAGGGGGAUGGAAUUCCGCGUGUAGCAGUGAAAUGCGUAGAUAUGCGGAGGAACACCAAUGGCGAAGGCAAUCCCCUGGGCCUGUACUGACGCUCAUGCACGAAAGCGUGGGGAGCAAACAGGAUUAGAUACCCUGGUAGUCCACGCCCUAAACGAUGUCAACUGGUUGUUGGACGGCUUGCUGUUCAGUAACGAAGCUAACGCGUGAAGUUGACCGCCUGGGGAGUACGGCCGCAAGGUUG
rnacentral:rRNA from 1 species